rnacentral:rRNA from 1 species
GAUGAACGCUGGCGGCGUGCCUAAUACAUGCAAGUCGAGCGAAUGGAUUAAGAGCUUGCUCUUAUGAAGUUAGCGGCGGACGGGUGAGUAACACGUGGGUAACCUGCCCAUAAGACUGGGAUAACUCCGGGAAACCGGGGCUAAUACCGGAUAACAUUUUGAACCGCAUGGGUCGAAAUUGAAAGGCGGCUUCGGCUGUCACUUAUGGAUGGACCCGCGUCGCAUUAGCUAGUUGGUGAGGUAACGGCUCACCAAGGCAACGAUGCGGAGCCGACCUGAGAGGGUGAUCGGCCACACUGGGACUGAGACACGGCCCAGACUCCUACGGGAGGCAGCAGUAGGGAAUCUUCCGCAAUGGACGAAAGUCUGACGGAGCAACGCCGCGUGAGUGAUGAAGGCUUUCGGGUCGUAAAACUCUGUUGUUAGGGAAGAACAAGUGCUAGUUGAAUAAGCUGACACCUUGACGGUACCUAACCAGAAAGCCACGGCUAACUACGUGCCAGCCGCCGCCGUAA